UGCAUUGAAGGGUUCCAUAGA
ensembl:piRNA 21ur-3650 ncRNA